rnacentral:rRNA from 1 species
GGGGAAUAUUGUACAAUGGGGGAAACCCUGAUGCAGCGACGCCGCGUGGAGGAAGAAGGUCUUCGGAUUGUAAACUCCUGUUGUUGGGGAAGAUAAUGACGGUACCCAACAAGGAAGUGACGGCUAACUACGUGCCAGCAGCCGCGGUAAAACGUAGGUCACAAGCGUUGUCCGGAAUUACUGGGUGUAAAGGGAGCGCAGGCGGGAAGACAAGUUGGAAGUGAAAUCUAUGGGCUCAACCCAUAAACUGCUUUCAAAACUGUUUUUCUUGAGUAGUGCAGAGGUAGGCGGAAUUCCCGGUGUAGCGGUGGAAUGCGUAGAUAUCGGGAGGAACACCAGUGGCGAAGGCGGCCUACUGGGCACCAACUGACGCUGAGGCUCGAAAGUGUGGGUAGCAAACAGGAUUAGAUACCCUGGUAGUCCACACCGUAAACGAUGAUUACUAGGUGUUGGAGGAUUGACCCCUUCAGUGCCGCAGUUAACACAAUAAGUAAUCCACCUGGGGAGUACGACCGCAAGGUUGAAACUCAAAGGAAUUGACGGGGGCCCGCACAAGCAGUGGAGUAUGUGGUUUAAUUCGACGCAACGCGAAGAACCUUACCAAGUCUUGACAUCCCUUGACGAUGCUGGAAACAGCAUUUCUCUUCGGAGCAAGGAGACAGGUGGUGCAUGGUUGUCGUCAGCUCGUGUCGUGAGAUGUUGGGUUAAGUCCCGCAACGAGCGCAACCCUUAUGGUCAGUUACUACGCAAGAGGACUCUGGCUAGACUGCCGUUGACAAAACGGAGGAAGGUGGGGAUGACGUCAAAUCAUCAUGCCCUUUAUGACUUGGGCUACACACGUACUACAAUGGCGUUAAACAAAGAGAAGCAAGACCGCGAGGUGGAGCAAAACUCAGAAACAACGUCCCAGUUCGGACUGCAGGCUGCAACUCGCCUGCACGAAGUCGGAAUUGCUAGUAAUCGUGGAUCAGCAUGCCACGGUGAAUACGUUCCCG